rnacentral:rRNA from 1 species
AUUGAACGCUGGCGGCAUGCCUUACACAUGCAAGUCGAACGGCAGCACGGGAGCAAUCCUGGUGGCGAGUGGCGAACGGGUGAGUAAAGUAUCGGAACGUGCCCAGUCGUGGGGGAUAACGUAGCGAAAGUUACGCUAACACCGCAUACGAUCUAUGGAUGAAAGCGGGGGACCGCAAGACUUCGCGCGAUUGGAGCGGCCGAUAUCCGAUUAGGUAGUUGGUGGGGUAAAGGCUCACCAAGCCGACGAUCUGUAGCUGGUCUUAGAGGACGACCGGGCAGACUGGGACGGAGACGCGGCACAGACUCCUACGGGAGGCAGCAGUGGGGAAUUUUGGACAAUGGGCGAAAGCCUGAUCCAGCCAUGCCGCGUGCAGGAUGAAGGCCUUCGGGUUGUAAACUGCUUUUGUACGGAACGAAAAGGUUUGGCCUAAUAAGCUGAGCUCAUGACGGUACCGUAAGAAUAAGCACCGGCUAACUACGUGCCAGCAGCCGCGGUAA